GACGAACGCUGGCGGCGUGCUUAACACAUGCAAGUCGAACGAGAAUCUGUGGAUCGAGGAUUCGUCCAAGUGAAGCAGAGGACAGUGGCGGACGGGUGAGUAACGCGUGAGGAACCUGCCUUUCAGAGGGGGACAACAGUUGGAAACGACUGCUAAUACCGCAUGAUACAUUUGGGUGGCAUCAUCUGAAUGUCAAAGAUUUAUCGCUGAAAGAUGGCCUCGCGUCUGAUUAGCUGGUUGGUGAGGUAACGGCCCACCAAGGCGACGACCAGUAGCCGGACUGAGAGGUUGAACGGCCACAUUGGGACUGAGACACGGCCCAGACUCCUACGGGAGGCAGCAGUGGGGAAUAUUGCACAAUGGGGGAAACCCUGAUGCAGCAACGCCGCGUGAGGGAAGAAGGUUUUCGGAUUGUAAACCUCUGUCCCUGGUGACGAAGACAGUGACGGUAACCAGGGAGGAAGCCACGGCUAACUACGUGCCAGCAGCCG
rnacentral:rRNA from 1 species